UGCCUGAUGGUGUAAUGGUAGCACGAGUGACUCUGGAUCACUUAGUUGAGGUUCGAAUCCUCAUCGGGCAA
rnacentral:tRNA from 3 species